AAUGAACGUUGGCGGCGUGGAUUAGGCAUGCAAGUCGAGCGUGUACCCCGCAAGGGGGAAAGCGGCGUAAGGGAGAGUAAUACGUAGAUACGUGCCUUCAGGUCUGGGAUAGCCACGGGAAACUGUGGGUAAUACCGGAUAAUGUCUAAGGACCAAAGAUGAGAUUUCACCUGAAGAUCGGUCUGCGUCCUAUCAGCUUGUUGGUGAGGUAACGGCUCACCAAGGCAACGACGGGUACGGGGUGUGAGAGCAUGCCCCCGCUCACUGGGACUGAGACACUGCCCAGACACCUACGGGUGGCUG
rnacentral:rRNA from 1 species